CCAAUUCUUUGGGUCAAAUUAGGUAACUUUUUGACCCAAAAAACAACCCCUUGUGAACCUUAAAACCGUAUUUUGGCGGCCCUCCAAACCGUAGUUUACUACCUGGGCCGUCAGCUAAAUAAAAACACCCAUGAUAACUUUUGUAUUACCAUGUCUCCAAAAGAUUCUCCUAGUGAAUCUUGUUUAAUUAAACCUUAAA
rnacentral:misc_RNA from 1 species